rnacentral:SRP_RNA from 1 species
GCCGGGCACAGUGGCGCGUGCCUGUAGUCCCAGCUACUCAGGAGGCUGAGGUGGGAGGAUCGCUUGAGCCCAGAAGUUCUGGGCUGUAGUGCGCUAUGCCGAUCGGGUGUCCGCACUAAGUUCGGCAUCAAUAUGGUGACCUCCCAGGAGCGGGGGACCACCAGGUUGCCUAAGGAGGGGUGAACUGGCCCAGGUCAAAAAUGGAGCAGGUCAAAACUCCCGUGCUGAUCAGUAGUGGGAUAAAGCCUGUGAAUAGCCACUGCACUCCAGCCUGGGCAACACAGCAGGACCCUUACUCU